GCCUGGUGCACUGGCCCCAAGUGACUUGUGAGCAUCUGAAAUGUGACUGUUGUGAAUCCAAGUGUUCUUGAAAUAGGGAGUCGAUACCAGACUCCUGGAAAGCAGGUUUCCCAAAGUACAGCGAAGGUGCAGAUCUCCUGACACCCCACACGAAACAGAAGGGGUAGGCACCAAGCACAGUUGGGAAGAGCCCUGGCAGAGUUCCACUGAGAAUUUGAAAAAAGAAAUGUGUGCCCGCAGGAUUUCUAGCUCUUCCUUUUUGAACGUUGGCCUCACAGCAGUGAUCAUGUCAAGCAAGUAUUAUUCAGCAGCCCCAGCCGGGUUAGUGUGUAAGGACUUGAACAGAUUCACAGGACAAAGGAACAGCCCAUGGAAAUGUGGGGCAAAGCCUGGGACCCUCAGUCCAAAGUAGGAGCUCCUGUACCUCUCUUUAAGCACUUUAAAAUCAAUGAAGGGAGCACUGUAGCAAUAAAGAAUGAAGAGGAGUUUCACAUUCAAAAUCAUUUUGUUGGCUUGACAUCUAUCUCAACCACAACCGGGAGGUCGGUUUUUUUCUAGUUGACUUACUUCCUGAAGAUCUGAACAGAAUUGAAAGAUGAAAGACCACAGUGCUGUCUGAUCACCAUGCACGCCUCUCUCUGACAAGCGUGGAGACAUUUGGGCUCAUGGUUCUUUCCCAUCUGAUUUAUUAUGCUCUUUGACUCUGGGACAAAACCCCACAAACUCAUCUCUUAAUUACAUAGGCUGUGUUUGGGUUGUGAACAAAACAACAAGUGUAUUUUCUCCCCAUAUGGGUUGAAAUGUCCCAUGUGAUGUCCAGCUUUACCAUAAUACUGCAGGCUGGCUGGUUUACUUCCUGGCACUGCCAUCAACCAGAAUGUGCUGGUGCAUCACAUUGUCUAACCCCUGGGCACCCUAUGGCCUUCCAGCUCAUAGCCUUCCCUUCCUCAACAAGUGUCUCCACAUGGCAGUCCCGUGGGUGACCCAGCCAUCUCAUGGGGCCUGAGCCCCAUGGCUCUAGCUUCCUUCCCCUUUGUGUCAUUUCAGGACUCAUAUUCACAGCUAAACCAGAGAUCUCGUGAUGGGCUGAACUGCACCUGCUGCAGUGUCUUGCUCACUUCCCAUAUAUGAUGCCAACCAUUGGGUAGCCACAUCUUAUCAGCUUUUAUGAGGAACAGUUGUACAGUCAACAGCAAGAUGGUGGAAUCCUGGUUGUCCCUGUGAUGGGUAAACCUCCUAAGAGCUUGCAGGGAAGAUGGAUUUGAAAUCCUUAAAUUAAUUCAUGCUCUUUUCUUGAAAUACACUGAGUUGUGGUAACUUCCUGGAAAGCAGAGUCUCUGCCUGAUGCUGGUUUUCCUUCCCAUUGAGCCCCUUGCAUGGAUUUGAGUAUCUUCAGUGUUGAGUUCAUUGCUGGGACUUGGCUCAAAAUCCAAAACCAGGACAGAAGAAAGGUCUUUGGAUACUUCUUGUUGAAUUCUGUUUCUCUUCCCUGGUACACAGACAUGAGGGUGGGGAGGGGAAGCAAGAAAAACUAAGCAGACUGUUCAUUGGUGUCACUUUUGUACUGUUUUUCAUCUGCUUGGGGACAAAGGUAUCUGUUCCAAAGGGACAGAAUGGGAAAUUUAAUUAAUGUAUUUAAAAUUCAAACCCCAAAUACAAAGAUAUGUGAGCCUUAAG